rnacentral:lncRNA from 1 species
UCGUCUCCUUCAGGAAAAUGUAGCAUGGCACUCAACUGUUCUUGAGAUAGUGCGUACUCAGUGUUGAACAUACGGAAUUUUGCAACACCGGUUAAGUACUCGUCCUCACCGGUUGGAGUGGUGUAUGAAUAGGAGCUUAAAAACUCCAAGGUGAGUGAUGGGUAUGUUGGAUGAUUUUGUGUGCACAAAAAAGUUAAAUCGGAUAGCCUGAGCAGCCAUUGC